AUUUUUUUUCCAGGUGAUGCAUUUCCCUUUUCCCUGGAAAGCUGCCACCCUAAAUUUGAACCACCCGUCAGGUUGCGCCAGGAAGAGAUACCCACCCAGCUGUCUGCAUGUGUGAAUCAGACCUAAUAAUCUUCCUUUGUACUUUAUCCUAAACUGAUGUAACCCACCUACCCGUCCCACAGCAGCAGCCUUUGCAGGGACCAGAAAGUACGGCACGUGGCUCCUGGAAAACUUCCCAAAAAGAAAUGUGGCCCUCCGACUGGAAGAGGUUCUCCACCUGAACUGCAGUCGCCGAUUUACUCCCAAACUACGGUGGUGUUUUGUAGACGGGAGCUCUGCACUGGCCACUGGCAGAGAGAGGCAAGUUCAACAUUAAUCCAAGAUCAAGGCUGGCAGCGGCUGCGGGGGCCACUUCCUAGGAGUGCUGCUCCUUUGCCGCUCCUUGGCAGUGGCUUCCAUCAUUUCAGAUCUCACUCCAGAGCCUCGCUCUCCGAGGAUGGACACAGAGAAAGAAGCAUUUUAGGGCAAGCUGAAGCAGAGCACUGUGCGGAGCCCC